rnacentral:rRNA from 1 species
AGAGUUUGAUCCUGGCUCAGAUUGAACGCUGGCGGCAUGCCUUCCACAUGCAAGUCGAACGGUAACGGGCCUUCGGGUGCCGACGAGUGGCGAACGGGUGAGUAAUGUAUCGGAACGUACCUUUCAGUGGGGGAUAACGUAGCGAAAGUUACGCUAAUACCGCAUAUUCUGUGAGCAGGAAAGCAGGGGAUCGCAAGACCUUGCGCUGAUUGAGCGGCCGAUAUCGGAUUAGCUAGUUGGUGAGGUAAAGGCUCACCAAGGCGACGAUCUGUAGCGGGGUCUGAGAGGAUGAUCCGCCACACUGGAACUGAGACACGGUCCAGACUCCUACGGGAGGCAGCAGUGGGGAAUUUUGGACAAUGGGGCAACCCUGAUCCAGCCAUGCCGCGUGAGUGAAGAAGGCCUUCGGGUUGUAAAGCUCUUUCGGCCGGGAAGAAAUCGUAUGGGCUAAUACCCUGUGCGGAUGACGGUACCGGCAUAAGAAGCACCGGCUAACUACGUG